rnacentral:rRNA from 1 species
AGACUUUGAUCCUGGCUCAGAUUGAACGCUAGCGGCAUGCCUUACACAUGCAAGUCGAACGGCAGCGGGCUCUUCGGAGUGCCGGCGAGUGGCGAACGGGUGAGUAAUACAUCGGAACGUACCCAGUAGCGGGGGAUAGCCCGGCGAAAGCCGGAUUAAUACCGCAUACGCCCUACGGGGGAAAGGGGGGGAUCGCAAGACCUCUCACUAUUGGAGCGGCCGAUGGCUGAUUAGCUAGUUGGUGGGGUAAAGGCCUACCAAGGCGACGAUCAGUAGCUGGUCUGAGAGGACGACCAGCCACACUGGGACUGAGACACGGCCCAGACUCCUACGGGAGGCAGCAGUGGGGAAUUUUGGACAAUGGGCGAAAGCCUGAUCCAGCAAUGCCGCGUGUGCGAAGAAGGCCUUCGGGUUGUAAAGCACUUUUGUCAGGAAAGAAAUUGUCUGGGCUAAUACCCCGGGCCGUUGACGGUACCUGAUGAAUAAGCACCGGCGUA